GGGGGCGAUCGGUUUCGACGGGGGUCGCGAAAUCGCCUGGAGCAUGCCGAGGGCGUCAUCUUCCUCGUUAAUCCGGUGGCAAAAAACUCAGACGCCAACGACGACGUCUACGCUGUAGCCGCUUAAGGCUUAAGCCCCGAACCCACUUGUGCCUGUGCUCGUGGAUGUAGGGUCACUAUCACGGGAUCGCUGCUGGUUGCCGUCCGUCGGCCAGCGGUUAACCUAAAACGGGCUGGUCCUUCGGUGCGCUUUGCACGCCGUGUUGCCGCGGGACGAGACCAAAACGGCGCGCUAAGCAUGUAGCGCCGGGGAUGUAGCGCCUUCGGACGGGGGUUCAAUUCCCCCCGCCUCCACCA
rnacentral:tmRNA from 12 species